UAUAUGGGAAAUGGGAAAUAA
ensembl:piRNA 21ur-7240 ncRNA